UACGAAGGGGGCUAGCGUUGUUCGGAUUUACUGGGCGUAAAGCGCACGUAGGCGGAUCGUUAAGUCGUGGGUGAAAUCCUGGAGCUCAACUCCAGAACUGCCUUCGAUACUGGCGAUCUUGAGUCCGGAAGAGGUGAGUGGAACUCCUAGUGUAGAGGUGGAAUUCGUAGAUAUUAGGAAGAACACCAGUGGCGAAGGCGGCUUACUGGUCCGGAACUGACGCUGAGGUGCGAAAGCGUGGGGAGCAAACAGG
rnacentral:rRNA from 1 species